rnacentral:rRNA from 2 species
AGAGUUUGAUUAUGGCUCAGAUUGAACGCUGGCGGCAGGCUUAACACAUGCAAGUCGAGCGGUAACAGGGGGAGCUUGCUCCCCGCUGACGAGCGGCGGACGGGUGAGUAAUGCAUAGGAAACUGCCCAGUAGUGGGGGAUAGCCCGGGGAAACCCGGAUUAAUACCGCAUACGCCCUUCGGGGGAAAGCAGGGGAUCUUCGGACCUUGCGCUAUUGGAUGUGCCUAUGUCGGAUUAGCUAGUUGGUGGGGUAAGAGCCUACCAAGGCGACGAUCCGUAGCUGGUCUGAGAGGAUGAUCAGCCACAUCGGGACUGAGACACGGCCCGAACUCCUACGGGAGGCAGCAGUGGGGAAUAUUGGACAAUGGGGGCAACCCUGAUCCAGCCAUGCCGCGUGUGUGAAGAAGGCUUUCGGGUUGUAAAGCACUUUCAGUGAGGAGGAAAACCUUAANUUUAAUACNCUUGAGGCUUGACGU